CCCUUAGAUGUUCUGGGCCGCACGCGUGCUACACUGAGUGGAUCAGCGGGUCAGGUUGCGCGAAAGCGUUUCCUAAUCUUUAAAUCCGCUCGUGAUGGGGAUUGACGGUUGCAAUUUUCUGUCAUGAACGAGGAAUACCUUGUAAUCGCGAUUCAUCAUAUCGCGCUGAAUACGUCCCUGCCCUUUGUACACACCGCCCGUCGCUCCUACCGAUUGAGCGAUCCGGUGAAUGUUUUGGACUGGCGUCAGAAGCGGUUCGCUCCUGACACUACGAAAUUUUGUAAACCUUAUCGCUUAGAGGAAGGAAAAGUCGUAACA
rnacentral:rRNA from 1 species